AACGAACGCUGGCGGCAGGCUUAACACAUGCAAGUCGAACGCUCGUAGCAAUACGGGAGUGGCGGACGGGUGAGUAACGCGUGGGAACGUGCCCUGAGGUUGGGAAUAACUGCGGGAAACUGCAGCUAAUACCUGAUGCGCCCCGAGAGGGGGAAAGAUUUAUCGCCUUGGGAGCGGCCCGCGUCGGAUUAGCUAGUUGGUGGGGUAACGGCCUACCAAGGCUUCGAUCCGUAGCUGGUCUGAGAGGACGAUCAGCCACACUGGGACUGAGACACGGCCCAGACUCCUACGGGAGGCAGCAGUGGGGAAUCUUGCGCAAUGGGGGCAACCCUGACGCAGCCAUGCCGCGUGAAUGAUGAAGGCCUUAGGGUUGUAAAGUUCUUUUGCCCGUGACGAUGAUGACGGUAACGGGAGAAUAAGCUCCGGCUAAACUUCGUGCCAGCAGCCGCGGU
rnacentral:rRNA from 1 species